rnacentral:rRNA from 1 species
AUUGAACGCUGGCGGCAGGCCUAACACAUGCAAGUCGAGCGGAUGAAGGGAGCUUGCUCCUGGAUUCAGCGGCGGACGGGUGAGUAAUGCCUAGGAAUCUGCCUGGUAGUGGGGGAUAACGUCCGGAAACGGGCGCUAAUACCGCAUACGUCCUGAGGGAGAAAGUGGGGGAUCUUCGGACCUCACGCUAUCAGAUGAGCCUAGGUCGGAUUAGCUAGUUGGUGGGGUAAAGGCCUACCAAGGCGACGAUCCGUAACUGGUCUGAGAGGAUGAUCAGUCACACUGGAACUGAGACACGGUCCAGACUCCUACGGGAGGCAGCAGUGGGGAAUAUUGGACAAUGGGCGAAAGCCUGAUCCAGCCAUGCCGCGUGUGUGAAGAAGGUCUUCGGAUUGUAAAGCACGUUAAGUUGGGAGGAAGGGCAGUAAGUUAAUACCUUGCUGUUUUGACGUUACCAGCAGAAUAAGCACCGGCUAACUUCGUG